rnacentral:rRNA from 1 species
UAUUGGUCAAUGGACGCAAGUCUGAACCAGCCAUGCCGCGUGCAGGAAGACGGCUCUAUGAGUUGUAAACUGCUUUUGUACGAGGGUAAAUGCAGGUACGUGUAUCUGUUUGAAAGUAUCGUACGAAUAAGGAACGGCUAACUACGUGCCAGCAGCCGCGGUAAUACGGAGGAUCCAAGAUUUAUCCGGAUUUAUUGGGUUUAACGGGUGCGUAGGCGGUUUUAUAAUUUAGAGGUGAAAUCUCGGGGCUCAACUCCGAAAUUGCCUCUAAUACUGUAGGACUAGAGAGUAGUUGCGGUAGGCGGAAUGUAUGGUGUAGCGGUGAAAUGCUUAGAGAUCAUACAGAACACCGAUUGCGAAGGCAGCUUACCAAACUAUAUCUGAUGUUGAGGCACGAAAGCGUGGGGAGCAAACAGG